GGCCCACUUCCGGCAAUAAUCGCCUGGUCGCCGUCAGGUGCCGGCCCAGGUGGCAGGCGCGCCCGUUGGGCACUGGGGGACGCGGGCGCGUCAGGUGAAGACUGGGGGCUGCAGGCGCGCUAGGAGAACUAUGCCAUUUUUGGGUCAGGACUGGAGAUCUCCUGGAUGGAGUUGGAUUAAGACAGAAGAUGGCUGGAAGAAUUGUGAAUCUUGUAGUCAGAAACUUGAAAGAGAGAAUAACCAUUGUAACAUCAGUCACAGCAUUAUCUUAAAUAGCGAAGAUGGAGAAAUACUCAAUAAUGAAGAGCAUGAAUAUGCAUCCAAAAAAAGAAAAAGGACCAUUUUAGAAAUGACACAAAUACUCAAAGUUUUUAUCAUGAAAAAUGGAUCUAUGUCCAUAAAGAAAGCACAAAAGAAGUAAGUAUUCUAUUAUAAAUAAGAGAGUAUCUUGGAUUGUUUCUGUUGAAUAUGGAGUCACAUUAAAUAAAUGUAUUAAUAAAGUUGCAUAAAACACAUUUCUUUUGCAAUGUCAGAUCUAUGGUUCACAUUCUGACAGA
rnacentral:lncRNA from 1 species